UCUAACUUGGCUGAAGGCAAGGCUUCAGGGUCAAUAAGGAGAGCUGAUUGCAGGACUUUGCAUCACCAUCUGAUUACCUGGGUGUGCUUCAUGCUCUCGUGUGUGUGUGACAUUGUCAUGGAUGCAAUGUUCUCCUCAGAACAUGGAAUUCAACCUGCUGUCCUCUCUCAGCACCAAUAAUGAAGCUUUUAAAGCAUCCCUGAAAGGGCUUGGCAACUUGACUCUUUUGCAAAAGUUGGUUCUCGGGAGCUCCUACAGAGUGGAAAAAAUCCUUGAUCCCAGUCUUAAAGAUAAGAGGGAUUAGCUCCUUGGUGCUUCAUAAAGAGUUAUCGUGGAAGGAUUUGCUAAAGGACCAAAGACAACUGCCAACCUCUUCAAAGGCAAUUUUCCUGCAUCAGUGUCACACACACAGCUGCUCUGGGAAGCAAUGCAGGAGAUUCCCUCCC
rnacentral:lncRNA from 1 species